GAUGAACGCUGGCGGCGUGCCUAAUACAUGCAAGUCGAACGAACAGACGAGGAGCUUGCUCCUCUGACGUUAGCGGCGGACGGGUGAGUAACACGUGGAUAACCUACCUAUAAGACUGGGAUAACUUCGGGAAACCGGAGCUAAUACCGGAUAAUAUAUUGAACCGCAUGGUUCAAUAGUGAAAGACGGUUUUGCUGUCACUUAUAGAUGGAUCCGCGCCGCAUUAGCUAGUUGGUAAGGUAACGGCUUACCAAGGCAACGAUGCGUAGCCGACCUGAGAGGGUGAUCGGCCACACUGGAACUGAGACACGGUCCAGACUCCUACGGGAGGCAGCAGUAGGGAAUCUUCCGCAAUGGGCGAAAGCCUGACGGAGCAACGCCGCGUGAGUGAUGAAGGUCUUCGGGUCGUAAAACUCUGUUAUUAGGGAAGAACAAAUGUGUAAGUAACUAUGCACGUCUUGACGGUACCUAAUCAGAAAGCCACGGCUAACUACGUG
rnacentral:rRNA from 1 species